UAUGAGAUGGUGUACCAUUGGCUUUUUUUAUAAUCCUUUUUGUGGUUGGAUUAUGUUUUCUUGAGAAGUUGGCCGGAAUGUUAAAGGCUGCCCUUUUAACUAUAAGAGAUUGAGAUGUUUAUGGGGCUUUUUCCUCCUCUGUUUCUUCUCCUACGAGUCACUGAAAAGCAGAGUAGAAGUGCGCUACCAUGUGUGGUGGAUGGGCGGCUGCGUUGUGGGUCUUCUUCCUUCGGGCUACUUCAAGCUUAUGCUUUCCGUUUAAGAUCCACUCUUGUUAAGGCUUGCGCCAUAAUGAAAGUGGCGGCGCGUGGUUGUGGUGCUGCCGACAACAUAAGGUUCUACAGCCCUUGCUUAGCUUCUUGGAGCCUAUUGGCUUUAUACUGGGUUAGGUAAUGUAACUGUCGUUUCCUUUUGUUUCUAACCUAAUUCGGCCAAUUGGUCUUGGAGGCCUUGUAAUGAUGUGC
rnacentral:misc_RNA from 1 species